GGUCUCCUGGUGCUUAACCACAGGCUGUGUUCUUUACAUGGACUAUAAAGAAAGAGGCACAUAGUAAACACCCCACAUUCACCUAGGCACAGGCCCCUCCUAGUCUGUAAUAUGAACUGGGGGUGAAGG